AAUUGCUCGAGUUCUGUAACGUUGAAUGUAGAUGACGACACCCUGGACUACUGGAGUGGGCAAUUUGGGAGAACUGAAUGACGAUACCCUCAUCAGAUCUAGUUCAUACCUAAAGUAUCAAGUAUGAAGCUUGAAGCUGACUUCAGGGGGUUUCUCUAUUACAUGGAUAUGAUGAAUAUAUUAUUGUGCAGGGAACAACGACUUCAGGCCGAUGAUUUUUUUUAUCCUCCUGUUUUUGAUGGAAUCCUUUUGUUUGGUUUCAGUUGUAUCGUUGCAGUUGGUUGCAUGGAAUGAAUUUUUUUGCAAGUUAUCUUCAAACCAUCA